CCCCCGAUGGUGUAGUUGGAUAUCACGUUCGGCUGUAAAGGGAACUUCUCAUGCUACCGAAAGGUCGCCGGCUCGACUCCGGCUCGGGGGA